UCAAAUGAACACCUGCUGAUG
rnacentral:piRNA from 1 species